UUGUUCCCCAUGUAAGUGCUUAUACACUGUGAUUAAAUUAUUUUUUAACCUUCUCUUAUGCUAAAUAGAUUGAGCUCUUUGACUCUGUCACUAUAUGGCAUGUUUUCUAAUCCUUCAAUCAAUCUUGUGGCUCUUCUGUGAACCCUAUUCAGGUUAUCAACAUCCUUUCUGAAUAGUGGACACCAGAACUGGACACAUGCCUUCCUGCAAUGGUCUCA